GCCACGCUUUAAAGCCGUGUGCCGCCAUGGUUUUAUUGUCACUCCCCUAGCCCGUUUGUACACUGCGUGGAGAGCGGUCCCGCUGCUCGGUCCCCUCAGAAGGCGCCCGGGCCCCACCAGGACCCUGGGGCCUUGCUAUACACUCAGACUGCACACGCAGUGAGGGAGAAUAUACAGCAAAUGCAAAGUGAGAAGUCCUUCCUGUCUGCAUGCUGGACUCGGGUGUAGCUGUGCUGGAUCAACAGCAGAAGCCAGAACCUCCUGCCAGGUGUGCCACAGAGCUGCUCACAGCACAGUAAAGGGAAGGAAAGUUUAACUGAGAUUUCAUCUUCCUUCCUUUUAUUGUUUGUUCUCUGUCUUGCUGUAUUGGUGUAGUCACACUGAGUGUGUGCUAUUCUGCCAGAUACCAUUUAGGCAGGAAUUCAGAGUUCUAGAUCUCUGGAAAUGUCAGUAUGAGCUAAAUAAAAUGUUUCAGCUUUGAAAAUAACGAAUGAUUCGAACCCAUUUGAGUUCCCAGAAAUGUCUUGAGUGAGCACUGGAGCAGAC